AUUGAACGCUGGCGGCAUGCCUAACACAUGCAAGUCGAACGAGUGGCGGACGGGGGCGUAAUGUCUGGGAAACUGCCCGAUGGAGGGGGAUAACUACUGGAAACGGUAGCUAAUACCGCAUACUAUCGGAUGUGCCCAGAUGGGCUUCGCUAGUGGGUGGGGGAAUGGCUCACCUAGGCGACGAUCCCUAGGUGGGCUGAGAGGAUGACCAGCCACCCUGGAACUUGGCGACGGUCCAGACUCCUACGCGAGGCAGCAGGGGGGAAUAUUGCGCAAUGGGCGCAAGCCUGAUUCAGCCAUGCCGCGUGUAUGAAGAAGGCCUGCGGGUUGUAAAGUACUUACCGCGAUGAGGCGUUACUCGCAGAAGAAGCACCGGCUAACUCCGUGCCAGCAGCCGCGGUAAUUC
rnacentral:rRNA from 1 species